rnacentral:lncRNA from 1 species
CAAUACGUUGAUUCAUUUUAUCUGUCACGCUCUCAAAGUUUCGCAAAUGCAAAAUUACCAUUUCCAAAAAUUGCUUUUGCACAAGAGUUACAUUCAUAUUCACCUCGAUUGAUAAUUCUUGUUAUAUUGUUAGUUUGUUAGAGUUUAUUUAAAGUUUACCUUUUUGCAUUUCCAGAUUUGCUAACCGGCAUAAGUGAUUUACAUCAUGAAAGUGACUAGUGAAUGAAAGCCACCAGGUAGAAGUUGACUCCAACUUCGAUACACAUUCACUUUGCGAGCCACGAACGCAUUCUGAAGGAGCCAAAAUUUGAGACCGUUCAAAAUCGCAAAGAGUCAUUUGAAUGGCUGAGUGAAUUCGAUUAUCGAUAGUCAACUCAGUAUUCAAUAAGCUACAUUUGGAAAUUAAAGUUGCAGCAACUUCCUGAUAGCAAGUGGAUUUUUUCAAGAGUGCUUGAUAUACGUGAGCUAAAGAAUCAAAACCGGCUAACCCCUCGGAAAAGGCCACAUUCGAAUAUUUCAUAAAUGAUUCUACAUCUCCGGUAGACUCACUAGUAAAGAAAAAAGAAAUAAUAAUAAAAAACUCGAAAUAUAACCCAAAGGACGCGUCGGAUGAAAUUUCAUAAUUGUAGUAGAUGGUAAACAAAGAAACUCACCCGUCGACAAACUACUUGCUUAAAAGAGUACGCGAAAAAAAAUAAUUUUUUUCCAAAUAAAUUAAUAAAUGAGAAAUUCUCUAAGCACCUAUUUAAUAAAAAAUUCAUUAAUUACUUGAACAAGCCAAGGAAUCCAGUUCUUCACGCGUCAGUACGGCAUAUCGUGUGUCAUUAAGUAUGCUUUCUGUGAAUUCGUCGGGGUUUUUAGGAUCUACAGUUUUUGACUUGCAUAGCUUUUUAAAAUUUAACAGUUUGUCCUGCAUAGGCUGUUUUCGUAGAAUCUGAAACUCACGGAAAAGUUUCUCAAAAUCACGUUCCGAAUAUCCUGGAAUUUGAAGAGUCGACGACUUUCUAUAUUUACGUUUAAAUUGAGGCCAUAGCAAGGUAGAUGGAAGUGAAUGAAGCAAAGUCCAAAAAUCCGAUAAGGUAUUUUUUCUACGCGUAAUUUUUUUGGUAGAAACCACCGACUUGCAAUAUUCCUCAAACACCUCUUUUCGUCUCUCUCCCGAAUCUAAUACGUAAAAACGAUCAUCGUCUAAUAACUUUGGAUAAACUAGUUCCCACGGUUGGUAUGCCCCGAUGUUUUUGUCCUUCAAAAGUUCAGUAAAUACUCUUCUAGCAUCAUCAGUAGAUAAAUUUGUAGCUUGUUCCUGUAUAUCAUAGGAAACUGUUUCAUCAUCCAAUUGUUGAAGUUGAUACAUAAUAUCUUCCUCACCAAACUCCAACUCUUCAGCGGAGUGUGAUUUUUCCUCAUCCUCUUCUUCAUCAGAUUUUUCAUAAAAUUCUUCAGAAUAUAAAACGGAUUCCUCCGAUGAUUCUUCUAAACCAGAGGGCUCUUCAAUCUCUGUUUGUAAAUGCCUAGAUUCAUGUAUUUCUUCGUGGUUGGUUUUACCACUAUCAACGUUCUGACUCUGUGAGGAAUCUUUACUGAUUUGCUUCCGUAUCGGAAGACGUAAUAUCUUCAAGUCUUUACUAAUUUCCAAAGGAGGUUCCCAAUAUGAUUCAUGGCUUUUUAAAUUGUGAAAGAAAUACCGAUUUUUCUUAGUAAAAACAACCACCCAUGAAUCAUUAUUAGGAAUUCUUUUUCUAAAAAAAAAGUUAAUAACAAAAUUUUACGCCUCACAUACUUGAAUUUUGGUCUGUCCGGUAAUUGUUUCCUCAAAUCUCGAGAAUUUUUGCGCUCUUCAGCAUUUUCAUUAACAAACAGCUUUUCGCUUGUGUUAAACGCCAAAGAAGCUUGCGAAGCAGUAACAGAAGAUGAAUGGUUUUUCUCAAUGAAACUUGGGCGCUGGUAAGUGCUUUUUUUUAACUCGGCAUUCCAGUAAUAAGGAAUCCCACUGGGUGCUAUGAGUUAGCAAAUAAACUGCUCAUUAAAUUUACCUUUAUGUUCAGUCCAUCCAGGAGGCAAAGGCUGUGACAUUAAGAUAUGUACAAUCAAGAAGUUAAGUUCGACACUAUGUUAGGUAGUAUUCAGUGGGCGUGUGUGUGAGAAUAGAUAGAACAGUUUUGCAAAAUCCAGCUGAAUAGUUA